rnacentral:rRNA from 1 species
GACGAACCGUGCGAACGUUGUUCGGAAUCACUGGGCUUAAAGGGCGCGUAGGCGGGCUGUCAAGUCUGGGGUGAAAUGCCGCGGCUCAACCGUGGAACUGCCUCAGAUACUGACGGCCUCGAGGAAGGUAGGGGCAUGCGGAACUGUAGGUGGAGCGGUGAAAUGCGUUGAUAUCUACAGGAACUCCGGUGGCGAAAGCGGCGUGCUGGACCUUUUCUGACGCUGAGGUGCGAAAGCUAGGGGAGCAAACGGG